AUUGAACGCUGGCGGCAGGCUUACCACAUUCAAGUCGAACGAGUGUCGGCCGGGUGAGUAAUGCGUGGGAAUCUGGCUUAUGGAGGGGGAUCACUCCGGGAAACAUUAGCUAAUACCGCGUACCAUAGGAUGAGCCCAAGGGGGAUUAGGUAGUUGGUGAGGUAAAGGCGAACCAAGCCGACGAUCUCUAGCUUGUCUGAGAGGAUGACCAGCCACACUGUGACUGAGACACGGCCCAGACGCCUACGGGAGGCAGAAGUGGGGAAUAUUGCGCAAGGGGGGCAACCUGACGCAGCCAUGCCGCGUGGAGGAAGAAGGGAUUCGGGUUGUAAAGUACUUUCAGUAGCGAGGCGUUAUCGACAGAAGAAGCGCCUGCUAACUCCGUGCCAGCAGCCGCGGUAAUUC
rnacentral:rRNA from 1 species